GAUGAAGAACGCAGCGAAAUGCGAUAAGUAAUGUGAAUUGCAGAAUUCAGUGAGUCAUCGAAUCUUUGAACGCACAUUGCGCCCGCCAGCACUCUGGCGGGCAUGCCUGUUCGAGCGUCAUUUCAACCAUCAAGCCCCCAGGGGCUUGUGCUGGGGCCCUGCGGCUGCCCGCAGGCCCUGAAAACCAGUGGCGGGCUCGCUAGUCACACCGAGCGCAGUAGCACAUCUCGCUCAGGGCGUGCGGCGGGCUCCUGCCGUGAAACCCCCCACUGUAACCCCAAAGGUUGACCUCGGAUCAGGUAGGAAUACCCGCUGAACUUAAGCAUAUCAAUAAGCGGAGGA
rnacentral:misc_RNA from 1 species